rnacentral:lncRNA from 1 species
UCAAAUAAAAACUAAUAAAAAUCAGAGAUCACAGGUAAGGGGGUUGGUGACACAGAGGGAAGGUGUUAGAACCCAAAGUGUCUUAGGUACUCCUAGAGAGCCCUUUUUGUGUGCAUAUGUAUUUUGUACAAAGUGAUGUUUACAAACAAAUAGAAUGGGGGGAUGAGAAAAGAACUCAAUAAUUAUAUUUUUGUGUUUGACAAGACCUU